rnacentral:rRNA from 1 species
AUUGAACGCUGGCGGCAUGCUUUACACAUGCAAGUCGAACGGUAACAGGGUGCUUGCACCGCUGACGAGUGGCGAACGGGUGAGUAAUGCGUCGGAACGUGCCGAGUAGUGGGGGAUAACGCAUCGAAAGGUGUGCUAAUACCGCAUACGUACUGAGGUAGAAAGUGGGGGACCUUCGGGCCUCACGCUAUUCGAGCGGCCGACGUCUGAUUAGCUAGUUGGUGAGGUAAAGGCUCACCAAGGCGACGAUCAGUAGCGGGUCUGAGAGGAUGAUCCGCCACACUGGGACUGAGACACGGCCCAGACUCCUACGGGAGGCAGCAGUGGGGAAUUUUGGACAAUGGGCGCAAGCCUGAUCCAGCCAUGCCGCGUGUCUGAAGAAGGCCUUCGGGUUGUAAAGGACUUUUGUCAGGGAGGAAAUCCCUAGCGUUAAUACCGCUGGGGGAUGACAGUACCUGAAGAAUAAGCACCGGCUAACUACGUGCCAGCAGCCGCCGUAAGAC